AAGUAAGCCAACUGCUGGAGGAGUGCUGUGGAUGCCUGAUGCUCCUUCUGUUACUCUCUGCUGUGGAACUGGGAGUAGUGAUGCAGAAACUGUUUUGGACUGAGUAAUUUGGCCUGAGAUGAAGAAGGUGACCUGUGUCAGAUUCAUUGGCUAGGAAUAAUAUAAAGCUCUUUGCCAGAAUUCUACAAGGAAUUUCAAAGGUCAUAUCUUCACACUACUGCAUGUGAAAGGAACAAUCUCUUUUUUUUAAUAUGGAGCUUCUGUCAAAAGGAAAGAGUUUGGGGAAGAGUCCUGCUGACAUCAGAAUUAAUUAUUUUCAUAAUAGAAGGUACUAGCAACUUAGCAAGCCAACAUUCUACAGAUUUAGUAAGGUCAAAAGCACAGGCCUUGUAUGUGUUUUGAACCUAUUCAUUUUCAUACUCUUUAAAAUGUUCUCAGUCUUUAUUUGAAAAUUAGGUAGUAGAAACAACUUCUGUGUUUUACAGGUGGAUUCUAAACAUCAGCAGAGAAACUUGUGGUAGUGAUUUGUCCCUUAUCAGUGAAUAAACAUUUAGAAGAGUCAGAAAUAUUUGUAAAUAGAAUCAUAUUUAUUUUUAAAUUUAAAAAUUUCCAAUUACAUUGAGGAAGAUCUCUGUAAUUGCAUUCCAAACAAUAAGCUUACAUGGAUUUAAAUGCAGUUCUGAAGAUCAUGGGCUAGUACCAUGAUUUCACACCAUAGUCAUGGUGAUACACAAGUAAUCUUUCCAUUUAAUAUGUACUUGUUGAAUAUAUGCAUCCUCCCUGGCUUGGUGUGCUAAUUUUCUGGUAAUUUUAUGUCAGUGUCUCACUUUUUUUCUUCUCUGUUUUAAAAGACUAUAGACCAGGCGUUUCCUGGAUGAAAUACUGUGCUGACUUUGGCUAUUACGGAGUUAAUAUUUGUCACAACAGAUGGCGUGGGACUGUGUUUUGGAUUUUUGAAGGAAAUAGUCUUGAUAACCCAGAGAUGUUACUGCUGAACAGAGCUUAUACAGAGCCAAGGCCCACUCUGCUUUUCAUUCCCUCUGCUGGCCAGGACUCUGGGGGUGCACAAAGCCGACACAGCCAGGGCACCCGACCCCAGCUGACCAGAGAGAUAUUCAGCAUCAUAUGUCAUCGUGUUCGGUAUAAAAAGGUGGGUGAAGAAGGAAGGGAAGAGCAUUUGGAGUUGUGAUAUUUGUCUUUCCAAGCCACUGUUGUGCAGGAUUGAAGCCUGUUUUCCCAGGAAUAGCUGAACACACCUGUCUUCCCAUGGGAAGUGGUGAAUGAGUUCCUUGCUUAGCUUUGUUUGUGCACAUGGCUUUUUCUUUCCCUAUUAAUGUUUAUCUAAACCCAUGAGUUCUUUAGUUUUUACAUUACUGAUUCUCUGCCCCAUCACACUGGAUAGUUCUGGUAGGGAAAUGAGCAAGCAUUUGUGUGCAGCUUAGUUGUCAGCUGGGGUGACAACCGUGAAAAAUUUGAAGCAAAGGUUGGUGGUUUAAUAAUCUAAUCCAAUCACCUUAAGCAUGCUUUUCUCUGUCUUCAUAAAAUAUAUAACUAGGUGCCCUAAAUACAGUGGAAUUAGGACAGGAAUCUACAGAAUGCACAAGGAAACUGUUCUAAAAUGUUCUUGUCUGGUACUCUGCAACAUGUUGAUCAAACUAAUUUUUUGCUGUGUUUCUUUAUGUAAAACCAAAUGAAAAUUUUCAGCUAAAAGCUUGCUACACAAAUGCAUACACACAUAUGCAUAUGUGUGAUAGAUGUUGCACAAGUACUUAUUGAAACCUCUGUCAAGAACUUUCAGAACACUUAUAACAUCAUUGAAUAUUUUACUUUUGUGGUAAGAGAGCAUAUGUUUCUAUAACCACUUUCACUGUUUUCUGCCUGGUGAAAAACCUCUAGAAACUAAUGGGGACAUCUGGAUAUUUACAAGAAGAGUAUCUAUAACAUGGCAGAAGUCCAAUGCUAUUUUACAAUGAAAGGUCAAGUUGAGUCAUCAUGAACCUUUUGGAUAAGAGCUCUCAACUUGUUCAGGAAAGCACCUAUUAUACUUCUAUGAGCUGUAAUUUUAUGACAUAUUUGUUGAAAUACAUUUGCUUACAAAACAAGAAGUACCAAAUAAACUCUACUGCUGUUAAAAUUUGUAUAUUUCAAGGGUUUAUUCUGACUGGAAUGAAAAUAAUAUGUCAAAAUAUUCCAACAUUAAUAGUAUUAUUAUCACUACAUGACUGAAAAAUGGCUGGUUUUUAUUCCAAGUGUGUGGUAUUUUUUUUUUUCUUGCAAGGAACAAAGACAUUAUGCAGGAGGGAUUUUUUUUUUUUACUAAUUCGUAGUAUAACUGAUAUAAAAUUUAGAGAGCUUUAUUUGAUUCUUAAUUCAAUACACAAUUUGAAUAACACAACCCCUACUCAAGAAUCAAACAGCUACUGAAGAAACUUAAAAUGAGCACCUGAAAAAGAAACUUAUCGUUUGCCUAGGUUGUUUCUGUGUGGUUUGGUCAUAAUCAGCGUCAUAAACAUUGAAACUACUUCCCAUAACUACAGGAUGGCAAAUUCCCUUACAGCCUACAUCUUUUCCUCUUUGUAACUUUUGCUCCCCACAUCCUUACUUGGCAUCUGCAACAGCAUGUACAAAGAGUAUUGAUUACAGCCUUUUACAGUUCUAAGCAACCACUAGAAGGAACUACAUAUUGUGCAGAGUGAGAAGAAAUUCACUCUAAAUACGAAAGUCCAGACAGCCCGAAAGGUAAAUUGGCUUUCUGAGGAAAUUAUGCCUAAAGGUUUUAGCCAUUCUGCUUGCUCUCACCCCAUGAAAAUGGGACUAAUGCAAGUGCUUAUGCAGCUAGGGGGUAAACAGUAUCAGGGAACUGAUCCAGCUGAAAGUACUUUUCUGGUUAACUUUUUGACUGGACUGAUUUCUCUGAUCUGAUAAUCUGUUUGCACUGCUACAUCAUGCUUGGGCCAAUUGGCAAUGAGAUGGCAGAAGCAAGUGGCCAGGGUAUUUUGGGAUCAGGUGGCAAUUAAAGGAACUAGAUUAAAACCUGAAAAUACUGACUGACUUACUAUGAUCUUGUUUAUCAGCAAAAUUUUAGCAUUCAUUAUCUUUUGUUUAUGCAGGGUAGUUACCUCACUGCUUAUUUUCAGAUACUUGGUAAACUUUAAAAGGCAUGAAAGACUUCAUGCUUUUGGGGUUUUUUGCUUAUUAACUUGCCAUUUGAUUUUUCCUGAAGUAGCAGGGAGUUGAGAUGUGGGAAUUGGAUAAAGGUAAAUUUUAUUAGGGUAAGAUGAAGGGGGAGUCUGCAUCAGAAAAAUCUUUGAUAACCAAAGGACGCUUCUAUGUGGAACUAACUAGUCUUAAAGCUGCCUGUGCUUUAAUCACAGUCAAUGUGAUUUAUCAGCUCCUUGGCUCUGCCUCUGAGUCUUUCUGUGCCUCUUUUUCCUCACUUUUCUCCCUUUUCUCUCCUACUCUUGGGUUAGGGGUUUAAAAACACUUCUUGUGGUGCUUGUUGGGCCCUUAAAGACACAAAUUAAGAAGUUUGUUUCUGUAAAAUUCAUGUUUGCUUCCAUGGGUGUCCAGAUGUGCUACAGAUAAGUUAGCAAGAUAAGAGAAUAUUUAUCUAAUAUUAAAGAAAAAUGGGAAAGGAUUCCUUCUUUCUGGGACCAGUAAACUGUUAGAGCAGUCCCAAUAUCUGGGAAGAUAUUAAUUUUGGUGGAAUUUUCUAUUGCAUGAAUAAGAUUAAAAUGCUUCAAUUUUUGUUGAUGCUAAUAUUCACAUCUAAUUGACCUACAUAUCUGAGGAUGGUUGCUCCAGCUUCUAUAUCAUCACCACAAGUGUAUUUUCUGAAUGCAUUGCUGUGCUUGAAGCAGAUAUAUUAUUCUGCUGACAUCAAUAGAUUAGACAAAUGUAGAAAGUGUGGUUUGUCAAAGAAAAUCAACCCUCCUUAUCACCACCAGCUCUUACUAUAUUUUCCUUGAGAAAUUUCAGUAUUUGCUAUUUUCUAACUGUGAAAAAUUCCAGACACUGAGAUUUUUCUACGUGUCAAGUAUUUUCUUAGUUAUAUUAGUUAUCAGGUAUUUAUGAUAAAUGCUCUUUUUAUUCUCUCUCCCCUCUGUAGAGAAGAAAGUGAAGUGACUUCACAAAGGAAGUCAUUGGAUGUCUGGAUUCUCUUAAUACCACCAAAACCAUUUAUCUGAGAUGGAAAGGAAUACUAAUUUCUGUCUAAUUCAUAUGAAUUAUUUAGAUAUCCGCAUUCAGAUGGAAUGAAGUGGUUCAUGGUGUCUCUGAAGUGCAAUGUUUCUGAGAGCUGGUCAUGGUUCAUUCAACCCCAGCUGGCAGCUCAGCCCCACACAGCCACUUACUCACUCAUCCCUCAUGGGAUGGGAGACAGAACUGGAAGUGCAAAAGAGAAGAACCUCUGGGCUGAAAUGAAGACAGUUUAACAGGUAAAGCAAAAGCCAUGUAGGCAAGCAAAGAAUUAAGUCACCACUUCCCAUGGGCAAGCAGGUGUGUUUAACCAUUCCUAGGAAAGCAGAUCUCCACCAUACUUAAUGGUCACUUGGGAAGACAAAUAUGAUCACUCUGAACAGCCCCUUCCUCCUCCUUUUCCCAGGAUGAUACUACAUGGUAUGGAAUGUUGCUUUGGUUGAUUGCAGUCUUCUGUCCCAGCUGUGACCCCUCUCAGGUCCUUGUGUACCUCCAGCCUCUGUGCUGGUGGGACAAUAUGAGAAGCAAAAAGGCCUUGUCUACAUGUGAGAGCUGCUCAGUAACCACAGAAACAUCCCUGUGCUAUCAGACUGCUCCCAACACAGAUCCAAAACACAGUCCCACUCCAGCCACAGUGAAGAAAAUUACCUGUACCCAAGUGCAAUCUGGAAAUGAAUUCUUGUGUCACCAGGUAGAAUAUAAGAGAGAUAAAAUAAUUUUUCUUGAAUCUUGCAUUUUAAUUAAUGGCUACAUGUGAGUAGUCAGGAUGAGAUUAAUAAAAAAGAUUUUAUAGGGAAACAAAUAAAAGUCAUCAAUCAUUUUUAAGCAAGAAAAAUCAAUUUUAUCUUGUAACAAACUCCAAUAUUUUUUUUUAAUUGAUGCUGAUACUAAUGGACACAAUGUUAAUUAUGUCCCCCUUUUUAAAAUAUUUUUUCUCAGACUUUUUAUCUCAUUUGGAAUAGAUAGACUUUUCUUUGAGUCAAUGCAUUGGGAAGUUAGUUGCCUAAAAAGGGUUUACACUGUGUUCAUCUGAGCUCAAAUGUUUUCCUGGACAUCUAAUCUAUUUUGAAUUUAGGAGUUCCUGCCCUUACAUUCCACACUCCAAAAUCAAUAAUUUUAUUUUUAAUGUUUGAUCCAUGUCUAUGAAGAGACCCUUGCUGUUCUAAGAUAAACAGAGGAUGGCUGUAUCAGAGGAACUCAAUUUGUACAGAACAAUCAAUAGUCAGAAAUAUACCCAUAGACAGUCUUACGAAUAAUUUCUCCUCCAAUACCAGCUGCAAGAAAUAUGUUCUUCUUCAUGAUUAACCAGAGAACUUUAUGAGCAGUUUAUCUACAUAAAACUCAUUGAAGUAAAUUAUUUGAUGCAUAUCAUUUUUAAAUGAGCAUGUGGAUAAUAAUGUAAAUUAUAAUAAAAAAGUUUUUUGUGAAAUAAAAUAGAUUUUGGACUGUGGGAAAUGAACUAAAACAUGUCAUUUUAUAUGACCAUAUUCAAAAUUUCUUAACUUUGUAUAGAAGCGUGCAUUUCCCUCAUGGAAAAAUACUAUAUUGAUUGUAAUUCUGACACUAAUAAUUCUCAGUGUAAGAAAAAUAAAAUAGAAUCAGCUUGCUAAAAA